rnacentral:rRNA from 1 species
CUACGGGGGGCAGCAGUGAGGAAUAUUGCACAAUGGGGGGAACCCUGAUGCAGCAACGCCGCGUGGAGGAUGACGCAUUUCGGUGUGUAAACUCCUUUUAUAUGCCAAAAAAAUGACGGUAGCAUAUGAAUAAGCACCGGCUAACUCCGUGUCAGCAGCCGCGGUAAUACGGAGGGUGCAAGCGUUACUCGGAAUCACUGGGCGUAAAGGACGCGUAGGCGGGUUGGAAAGUCAGGUGUGAAAUCCUACAGCUUAACUGUAGAACUGCACUUGAAACUUCUAAUCUAGAGUAUGGGAGGGGGAGAUGGAAUUAGUGGUGUAGGGGUAAAAUCCGUAGAUAUCACUAGGAAUACCUAAAGCGAAGGCGAUCUCCUGGAACAUUACUGACGCUAAGGCGUGAAAGCGUGGGGAGCAAACAGGAUUAGAUACCCCCGUAGUC